GCAGUUGUAGCUCAGUGCCAGAGCACCGGUCUUGUAAACCGGACGCCGGAGGUUAGAACCCUCCCUACUGCU
rnacentral:tRNA from 2 species